GACGAACGCUGGCGGCGUGCCUAAUACAUGCAAGUCGAACGCAGUGGGGACGGGUGAGUAACACGUGGGUAACCUCCCAUCAGAGGGGAUAACGCUUGGAAACAGGUGCUAAACCGAUACUGAUGGAUGGACCCGCGGGGCAUUAGCUAGUUGGUGAGGUAACGGCUCACCAAGGCCACGAUGCAUAGCGGGCCUGAGAGGGUGAUCAGCCACACUGGGACUGAGACACGGCCCAGACUCCUACGGGAGGCAGCAGUGGGGAAUAUUCGGCAAUGGACGCAAGUCUGACCGAGCAACGCCGCGUGAAUGAAGAAGGUUUUCGGGUCGUAAAGCACUGUUGUUAGGGAGGCGGUAUCGAACGAGGAAGCCACGGCUAACUACGUGCCAGCAGCCGCGGUAAUAC
rnacentral:rRNA from 1 species